rnacentral:lncRNA from 1 species
CCAGCUAGCAACAUCCAAGACUUUGGGGCACAAAAGUAUUGGAAUGAAUGAGCUAAUUAAACGUAGUAAUAUGCAAACCACCUAUCAACCAUGGCAAGACAUUCCAUAGGCUUGUAUUCUGGAGCUGAGUGGCCACCUCCCUGUACAGGUCUCCAUUAUUUUAGUUAUCUUUUUUUCUUUCAGAUAACUAGUUGAGAAAAAUUAAGCAGGAUUUUCAGUUCUUGCCUUUACAGUAACAAAUGUCAAACUGUACGCUUUCAGUGUAUAUGCAUUGGUGUACCUUAGAAAAAAAGAUAAUUUAAUUAAUUAAAUAAGAAAUUGCAGUGACAUUAUGAAAAUUGAUAGUAGCAAGCAACCAACCCUGCAACUUGGCCAUUAACAAACCAUGGUCUCCAUUGGUAAUCAACACUCAAAUUUAGAGAUUUUAUCCAUUCUCGAGUGCCCACAUAUGGAAUAAUCAUGUCAUGAUCACCACUGUACCCAAAAAAAAAAAAAAUCUACAAAUUAACUUUGAUAUAUUUCAGACAGAAGAAUACUGAAUUCAUCGGUUUUUUCACACAAACGGUCGUGGAUUUUUUACGGAUAGACAAAAUUUGGAAAUGGAGAAAAUUAAGAAUAUUAACUAGUGUACCUGUAAACCAGUGCUCUAAGGUUUUUCUUGGUGAGAUUUCGAUGAUAGUCGAUACUAGUUCUAACAUCAUAUACAUAAUUGCUAAAUAAACUCUGAUUGCAUCUCUCCCAACCCUUUAUUGUUCCCUGUUAGGUUGUAAUGGCAAAAGUGCUUAAGUGAAAUUAAUUAUAUAGGUAUUGUAAUUCUCAAAAUUAUAACAUACCUCUCGAACGUUUAGAGCAUUUUGGACAGUUUUGUCAUUAGCCCAAAUGAAGCAGAAGAUAUAGUUAUAACUCUGCAACCAAGUACUACGGUAUUAGCAUGAAACAUAGUUCAGUCAUGUACAUGUAAUUUGACUCCAUUGCUAACCGAACUAAUUAUAGGACUAAAAUUUCCAAAGUCAAAGUGAAAAACAAGUCAAAUUAUAAGGAUAAAAAAUAUGUAAUUUGACCCAAAUUCAUUAGAGUAUAUAUUGUGCGACAGUAAGCCAGCCAGAAAUUUACACGACACCAUGAUUUCGUAGAAUAAUGCAGCACAUCUAACAAGUCCUCUUCAGCAAAGUUCUGAUCCCAUUUGAAUCUUUUUGGUUUUGGAGACAGAGUACUACACUUUGGCUCCAAGAUUUGUGCAAGAUUUAUCUUUUGGAUGCACUGCAAAUUUGUUAAGUGGUAAAUCGAUAUUCAGUAUCACACUUCAAUAUAUAAUAAAUGCAAACCAAGGACGUAGUAAUUCUCACCUCAUUGACUUCUUGGAGGUUUUUCACACAAGGUGCAUUGCUUGGAUCUACUUGAACAUACUCUCCCUUGCAAUUUGUUUUAGUUGACUAUAUAUAUACAUAUAUAUAUAUAUAUAAUACGAAGAGAUUAGCUCUCAAAUUAAGCAUUUAUUUUAUUUUUUUGCUACAUGAUUUGUACGAAAAUUAGUUGAGCACUUUUGUUUAUUUUUUUGCACAUGUUGGCAGUAGGAAUACAACUCUCGCUCUUCUUUCUUCAAAGUUUAAAUAAACAAGAAAACAUAUUUAUACCUCAUAGAGUUCAUUGGAUAUAAGUGCCAUGCGAUGAGCAUACUGAAUUCGUGAGUUUACGUCAUAUGUUGGUUCUGUCCAUGGGUUGCCAAGCACGUAACCCUGAGUUCAAUCAAACAACAUUUACUUAUCCAAGACAAUGUUUCUUUACUUGAUACUAAAAAUGUGGUAAAUACUCGCCCCAAAAGAAAAAAAAAUCUAUGUUUGAAUGUACCUUUUUUUUUUUUUUUUGGGAUCCAAGUGAUAUUGACGGAGGAAGAAUUCGAACUUCGGUAUAAAUGUCAGAUUUUACUCAUGCAUUAUAAUCAUUACAUUUCGUACUAAGGACUCAUAAUUACGAGGUUUUUCUUUGGUAAGAAAAAUAUUUUACUCCAAUCACACAUUAAAAUGAUUUUUUUUUUUUUUUUUUCAAAGUUAGGAAGGAGGAGGUGAGUUUUUUCACACAAACUUCCAAGGUGGUAUGAGGAUUCAAACUUGAGACUAUUGAUAUCCAAAUCAAAACUCUUUUUCACUCAUCUCGUACUCGUCUCAUAAAAUAAUUAAGAACCAGAGACUAAGACCGGAAGACAGCACAAAAAGCAAAAGUUCAUUACAGAAAGCAGAAAAAAAAAAAAAAAAAAAAAAAAGAUUGUAAUGAGCUAUAUUAGGAUUACAAGCUAAAAUCAAAUGAGCAGAAAACAACCAUAAGAGCCCAAUCGAACGCACACAAAAGGAGAAGGGCUAACGAGGACUAAAAGGGAAGACAAGUAUCUCAAAUUUAAAAUCAGAUAGAAUUCUUACUUUGAGAUUCAUUGGCGGUUCAUGCCCAGCUUCGUUACCUACAACAGUUCAGAUUUAGGAGACUUCUCAUAAUUUAGGUCAAAUAAAGUUAGGACUCGUUUGAUAACCAUUUAGUGAAACAACUGAAAAGGUUUUCAUUCCCAACAAAAGUUACCGUUGGAUACUUGUUGAGCAACGAUGGGAACGGUUAUGCCUGAAUAUGAAUCACCAGCAAUAUAUAGUGGAUUUUUCAGAAAUUGAGGGUGAUCUUUAAGCCACUGCAGCACCAUUAUAUACAUCACAACAAUUAAUAAAUUAAUUAAUAAGAUUUAACAAUGUAAUUUUCAAACCUUUGUAAAUUACUUUGCCAAAUUUUGACCUUCCUUAGAAAUUCAUAGGUCUGAGUACAUGAUAAUGUAUCACCGGUCCGGUAUUCUUCCCAACUUUUUGCAUAGGAAUAUCCAGUACCAACAGGUUGAUCCAAAAAUAUUACGUUGGCAAUCUGAACAUUUUUCAAUAUGCAUUCGGGGUCAAGUUAUUGACAAAUCAUAAAUUAAUUAGCAGUAGGUUUCUCUCUGAUCUUACCUUUGUCCAUGCGUAUGGAUUCAACAAAAAUGUUGGUUCGUUCCCACUAGAAUUUGCGUAGUUGAAAAUUAAUGGACCUACCAAAAAUAUUUUUAUCAAAUGCAAAGUCAAUUGAUAUCCUUUAUAGGAUGAUCACAAAUGCUUUGUGCAUGUUGGGUGGAGAUCAACGAUGUCUUGUUCCAAUCCAAAAAAAGAAAAAAGAAAAAAGAAAAACAGAUGAGGUUAUCAAAUUGUUAUAUGAUAACAACCAUUAAUUCUUUGAUGUUACUGUACACUGACCUAUAGAUAGCUAGCUUCCAGUCAAAAUCCAACUAAUGGUUUUGUACAGUUUCAAAAUAAUUCUGGAGGGGGAAUUCCUGGUUCAGCAAUAUACGGAGUAAUUUUUUGAUUUGUUGUCAAACUGUAAAUGAGAAUUGUUGAUCAUAUAAUAUAAGUGGAGGGUACGAUAUACAGAGUUGAGAUAAUAAUGUACCUAUACUGUCGUAUACCAUGGCAGUAAAAGAAGAGCAACCAGGACCUCCGCUGAGCCAAAGCAGUAAAGGAUCUUCCUUGGGACUUCUCUCCGACUCGAUGAAGAAAUAAAACAACUGAAUAUCAUCCAAAUUGCCCACCCCAACGUACCUUUAUAUAAUUUAAAUCAUAAUUUUCAUUCUCAUCAUUGCAAUUGGUACGUAUUAAUUGAUAUAGAGUAUAAUUCAUAGAGGGAACCAAAAAAAAAAAAAAAUUAAUUAAUUAGUACCAUAUACCAUAGAAAUAUCCUUUCAUUCACAGCAAAGCAUGAAAGAGAUGAACAACUAAACUGAGAGAGGAGAACACAUAAGGACACCUCUAUAUAGAUGCGAAAACAAGACUCCGAUUUGAAAACAAAAACAAAAACAAAGACAAAGAAAUACCAACCCGGUUUCAAGUUUGAAGGGGAGGUCGCCGGAAAAACCCGGUAGGGUGUUGAUGAUGGAUGAUGAAGCAACGAUGUGACAACAAUGAAGGAGGAGGAGCAGAAGAAGUGCUUGCGGAAACAUGGUGAGGUUGGAGCUGUAACAGUACAUGCACUAGGAUUAGAAGGCUAUGUUUUUUACUAAGUACAAUAACAUAUUAUUUUUUAAAGUGGUAAUGCGAAGUGACUGGAGAGAAUGUUUGGUGAGUAAUAAAUAAUUUCCUUAACAAACGUGUUAGGCACACGUGAUCUUGCCCUAAACCAAGUUGCAACGUUAGUUUUUGUAAUAUUUUUGUUGCAUUUUUGUUCUCGUAGUUAGGUUUCAUUUUCACCCAUCCGUCGGCGAAGUUGGUCUCCCAUGAGAUAUGGACAAACAAUAUACAAAU